rnacentral:rRNA from 1 species
GACGAACGCUGGCGGCGUGCCUAAUACAUGCAAGUAGGACGCACAGUUUAUACCGUAGCUUGCUACACCAUAGACUGUGAGUUGCGAACGGGUGAGUAACGCGUAGGUAACCUGCCUAUUAGAGGGGGAUAACUAUUGGAAACGAUAGCUAAUACCGCAUAACAGUAUGUAACACAUGUUAGAUGCUUGAAAGAUGCAAUUGCAUCGCUAGUAGAUGGACCUGCGUUGUAUUAGCUAGUAGGUAGGGUAAUGGCCUACCUAGGCGACGAUACAUAGCCGACCUGAGAGGGUGAUCGGCCACACUGGGACUGAGACACGGCCCAGACUCCUACGGGAGGCAGCAGUAGGGAAUCUUCGGCAAUGGGGGGAACCCUGACCGAGCAACGCCGCGUGAGUGAAGAAGGUUUUCGGAUCGUAAAGCUCUGUUGUUAAGGAAGAACGAGUGUGAGAAUGGAAAGUUCAUACUGUGACGGUACUAAACCAG